GUCCUAGUGGUGGCAGUGCAUCUAGAUAGGCCUACUCUACCAUGCUGUUUCAACACCUGUGGAUAAGGAGUUCCAUGAACAACAAACCCUUCCCUCUGUUUUAAUUAAAAUCAACCCUGUGGGAACUACCAACAGUAAAGAUGAAUUCUUUGAAGACAGUGACUCGAUUUCCUCUGGACUUCUUAUGAUGAAAGAUGUCACUACUUAAAGCCUUUUUAGUCAGAGUUUGUUUCAGUAAUUCACCUCGAGGUACUCCAAUCUGAUUAAGCCUUCUUUGUUUUCUUUUUUAUUGAAAUUGAUGUGUAAAAAUGCAAGUAAAUUUCAGCGUUCAGUUUUAUCAGAUCAGACAGUAGUUUACUUAGAUUUUAUGAAAUUUUUGGCUCGUUAUCUGGGCCCAAUUUCAUGGCUCUGCU